UAAACUCCUCCGCAUCGACUCAUGCAUUCACCCCUUCCGGUCUAAACAGUGAACUCCUCCGCAUCGACUCACGGGUUCACCUCCUUCCGGUCUAAACAGUGAACUCCUCCGCAUCGACUCACGCAUUCAACCCUUCCGGUCUAAACAGUGAACUCCUCCGCAUGGACUCACGCGUUCACCUCCUUCCGGUCUAAAUGGUAAACUCCUCUGCAUUUUCUGUUCGGUUCUAUUUUGGUGGGGCCCACCCGUCAUCACAGAGUAUCUGGGAGCCCUGCCCUCUUGCAGAUGGGAAUGAAAGCCCAGGUGCUCUGGAGAGAUGACUCUCCUCUAGAAAGGAAACACUGGUUCUGUAAACCUGUUUGAGAAGAAAAGCUCACGGAGGUUUCUUGGCCUCUGUGCUUCUGGAGCCAGGGGAAAAAAUAGCCCCAGGCUGAAGACAGGAGGGACCAGAUUGCUGCUUGGUGAUGCGAUCUCACUGCAGAGGCAGCCAGGAGACCCUCCUGAGACGAAUCGGAGAGUCCAUGCUGCUUUUACACACAUCCUAGUUCUUUUAUAACUAGCCUUUUCCUAUUAACGGACAUCAUUCAAAAGCCAGUUUUAAGCAACAUAAAUAUUGAAAACAAUACUAUACUAUUUAGAAUUAAUUAUAAGUUUUUUUUUUAAAGCCUAAAUCUUUUAUUGUUGUUUGAACCCUGGGCACUGAAGCUAAUAAUGUAACUUUUCUCCCUUCUUUCUUCUUUGGCAUAGAUUUAAAGAACUGUUAGACUCAUUUAAAAUGCUAUUAGGCAUUUUAAAGAGUAAUUGUUAAAUGUGUUGUCUCUUGUGGGACUGGAAAUGUUCUGUUCUUAUCUGGCGCUGGUUACAUCCUGUUUUUCAUUUGGGAAAGUGCAUUGAGCUGGAAAUUUAUAUGUUCAAUUUAUGUAAAUUGUACUUCAGUAAAAAUUUUCAAAAAA